CAUUUUGCAAUAACUUUUGCUAUAUUGAAUAUGGCAACUUGAUAUUUUGCAUGCAUGUGUAUCUCAUGGAGCUGCACAUUUUGAGUGGUGAAAGGUCAAGGUUAAGGUCAUCCUUCAAGGUCAGAGGUCAAAUAUAUGUGGCCCAAUUCGCUUAUUUUAUGAAUACUUUUGCAAUAUUUAAGAUAGCAACUUGAUAUUUGGCAUGCAUGUGUAUCUCAUGGAGCUGCACAUUUUGAGUGGUGAAAGGUCAAGGUCAAGGUCAUCCUGCAAGGUCAGAGGUCAAAUAUAUGUGGCCAAAAUCGCUCAUUUUAUGAAUACUUUUGCAAUAUUGAAGAUAGCAACUUGAUAUUUGGCAUGCAUGUGUAUCUCAUGGAGCUGCACAUUUUGAGUGGUGAAAAGUCAAGGUCAUCCUUCAAGGUCAGAGGUCAAAUAUAUGUUGCCCAAAUCGCUUAUUUUAUGAAUACUUUUGCAAUAUUUAAGAUAGCAACUUGAUAUUUGGCAUGCAUGUGUAUCUCAUGGAGCUGCACAUUUUGAGUGGUGAAAGGUCAAGGUCAUCCUUCAAGGUCAGAGGUCAAAUAUAUGUGGCCAAAAUCGCUCAUUUUAUGAGUACUUUUGCAAUAUUGAAGAUAGCAACUUGAUAUUUGGCAUGCAUGUGUAUCUCAUGGAGCUGCACAUUUUGAGUGGUGAAAGGUCAAGGUCAUCCUUCAAGGUCAGAGGUAAAAUAUAUGUGGCCCAAAUCGCAAAUUUUAUGAAUACUUUUGCAAUAUUGAAGAUAGCAACUUGAUAUUUGGCAUGCAUGUGUAUCUCAUGGAGCUGCACAUUUUUAGUGGUGAAAGGUCAAGGUCAAGGUCAUCCUUCAAGGUCAAAUAUAUGGGUCAAAAUUGCUCAUGUUAUGUCACUUCUGCAAUAUUGAAGCUUGCAAUUUUAUAUUUGAAAUGCAUGUGUAUCUCAUGGAGCUGCACAUUUUGAGUGGUGAAGAGUCAAGGUCAAGGCCAUCCUACAAGGUCAAACAUCAUAUAGGGGGACAUUGUGUUUCACAAACACAUC